CAACCGAAGAACCUUACCUGGUUUGACAUCACGAUGCUCUUCUGAAACUGAGUAGGCUGCUUCGGGUGAAACGUGCACAGGUGCUGCAUGGCUGUCGUCAGCUCGUGCUGUGAAGUGUCGGGUUAAGUCCCUCAACGACGAAACCCCUGUCGCUAGUUGCCACGGGUCAUGCCGGGGACUCUAGCGAGACCGCCGCGUCAAGCCGGAGGAAGGUGGGGACGACGCCAAGUCAUCAUGGCCUUUAUGUCCAGGGUGUCGCACGUGCUACAAUGGCGGUACAGAGCGAAGCGAGACCGCGAGGUGGAGCAAAUCGCAAAAAGCCGUCCUCAGUUCGGAUUGGAGUCUGCAACUCGACUCCAUGAAGCUGGAAUCGCUAGUAAUCGCGCAUCAGCCAUGGCGCGGUGAAUACGUUCCUGAGCCUUGUACACACCGCCCGUCAAGUCAUGGAAGCUGGAGUUACCCGAAGUCCGUUUAGCUAACCCGUAAGGGAGCGCGGCCGACGGUAAGCCCGGUGACUGGGACUAAGUCGUAACAAGGUAGCCGUAGGGGAAUCUGCGGCUGGAUCACCUCCUUUCUG
rnacentral:rRNA from 1 species